rnacentral:sRNA from 1 species
GGCUGGCGUCCUCUUUCCGGCCGGUCCCCAUGGAGGCGCUGGGGAAGCUGAAGCAGUUCGAUGCCUACCCCAAGACUUUGGAGGACUUCCGGGUCAAGACCUGCGGGGGCGCCACGGUGACCAUUGUCAGUGGCCUUCUCAUGCUGCUACUGUUCCUGUCUGAGCUGCAGUAUUACCUCACCACGGAGGUGCAUCCUGAGCUCUACGUGGACAAGUCGCGGGGAGAUAAACUGAAGAUCAACAUCGAUGUACUUUUUCCGCACAUGCCUUGUGCCUAUCUGAGUAUUGAUGCCAUGGAUGUGGCCGGGGAACAGCAGCUGGAUGUGGAACACAACCUGUUCAAGCAACGACUAGAUAAAGAUGGCAUCCCCGUGAGCUCAGAGGCUGAGCGGCAUGAGCUUGGGAAAGUCGAGGUGACGGUGUUUGACCCUGACUCCCUGGACCCUGAUCGCUGUGAGAGCUGCUAUGGUGCUGAGGCAGAAGAUAUCAAGUGCUGUAACACCUGUGAAGAUGUGCGGGAGGCAUAUCGCCGUCGAGGCUGGGCCUUCAAGAACCCAGAUACUAUUGAGCAGUGCCGGCGAGAGGGCUUCAGCCAGAAGAUGCAGGAGCAGAAGAAUGAAGGCUGCCAGGUGUAUGGCUUCUUGGAAGUCAAUAAGGUGGCCGGAAACUUCCACUUUGCCCCUGGGAAGAGCUUCCAGCAGUCCCAUGUGCACGGUGAGUGAUCUGCACUAGCUGGGGCGAUUUAGAUGCUGGCCACCUUCUUGGUGAGUUUGAGUGGUCCUCUCCUGCCUGCUGCUCAUUUGUCUUGGGCAACCAUUUGGCCAGAGCAGGCCUUCAUCUCAGGGCAGCAGUUUGGCACAGUGGCUAAGAGCACAGGCUGAGGAGCCAGACUGCCUGCAUUCAGAUACCAGUUUCAGACCUUACUGGCUGUGUGACUUUGAGAAGGCUUCUUAAUCUUUUUGACUCCUGUUUUCUACUUUAUAAAAUGGUGAUGAGGGCACUUAUCUCACAGGGUGUGUGUGCAGGUUAAAGAUGAUAGCACGGAGCCUGGCUUGUGGUAGGUGCUUGUUGAAAUGGUAGCCCCCAGUGUCCGACAAUGACCUGUGCAUGAGGCUUUGGGAGAAGCAGAGCUAGGUUGGAGCACAGGUUCUGCCACUCCUGAGCUAUGUCAUAUUUGGGAAAUAUUGAGCCCUAUUUAGUUGCUUCUUCUGUAAAAUGGGGAUGAUGAUAAUAGUACCCACUCACAGGGCUGUUGGGGUGAACAAAUGAGAUUUAUUCUCAUUCAUUUGUUCAUUCAUGCAUUCACAAAAUAUUUAGUAAUCACCUACUAGUCUAGUUGCUAAGGGUACAGUAGUGAACAGUCUGUGCCCUCAGAACAUUCUAGUAAAGAAAUAGACAAUAAGUAUAUAAAAUAUAAAUAGUCCCCAAUUAAUGGUUCAGCUUGCAAUUUUUUACUUUAUGAUGGGUAUUACAUGCAUUUUUCACUUAACGAUAUUUUCUUUUUCUUUUUUUUUUUUUUUUUGAGACAGAGUCUCACUCUGUCACCCAGGCUGGAGUACAGUGGCGUGAUCUUGACUCACUGCAACCUCCACCUUCCGGGUUCAAGUGAUUCUCCUACCUCAUCUUCUUGAGUAGCUGGGUCUACAGGUGC